GACGAGGGAUCCUAGCGCUGUUCGGAAUCAUUGGGCGUAAAGCGGAUGUAGGUGGCUUUGUAAGUCAGGUGUGAAAGCCCAGAGCUCAACUCUGGAAGUGCAUUUGAUACUGCGAAGCUUGAGUGUGGAAGAGGUAAGUAGAAUACCUGGUGUAGUGGUGAAAUACGUAGAUAUCAGGUGGAAUACCGGAGGCGAAGGCGGCUUACUGGUCCAACACUGACACUGAGAUCCGAAAGCGUGGGGGAUCAAACAGG
rnacentral:rRNA from 1 species